GCUCUACGGUUUUUGCCGGGGAUUGUAUAGUGUAACAUAAGAAGGGGUGGACGGACCCCCGCAGGGAGUGAGGUGCUAGUAUGCCCAUAGAAGUGAAGCACCAUCUCACACAUAACAAUCACACUAGCACUGCCCAGUGAGACCACAACCCCUCAACAGCCCAUGGAACUAGCUCGAGCAAAUGACAUCUACCUCCGCUCCCGAAGGCGCACUUCACGACACCUCCCUCCUUCCACCGACCUAGGUUAGACUGACGACCGGAGAAAAUACACAACCCUAGCACACACAAUACGAAUGCACUAGCACUCGAGGUCCACAAUCUGACAGGGGCCCCCCAGAGCCAAACUGGACACAUCGACAAUCACUCACUUAUAAAUCUGGGAUAUGGGCCAUCUCCUCGGACCGACGAAUUGACAGGCCACGAACAGGCAUAUUAGGGACAUAGAUACUCACACA